rnacentral:rRNA from 1 species
UACGGAGGGUGCGAGCGUUGUCCGGAAUCAUUGGGCGUAAAGGGCGCGUAGGUGGCCCGGUCAGUUCGUGGUGAAAGCGCGGGACUCAACCCUGCGUCGGCCAUGAAUACUGCCGCGGCUGGAGCACUGUAGAGGCAGGCGGAAUUCCGGGUGUAGCGGUGGAAUGCGUAGAGAUCCGGAAGAACACCGGUGGCGAAGGCGGCCUGCUGGGCAGUUGCUGACACUGAGGCGCGACAGCGUGGGGAGCAAACAGGG